UACGGGGGGAGCAAGCGUUGUUCAGAAUUACUGGGCGUAAAGGGCGCGUAGGCGGCGACUCAAGUUAGAUGUGAAAGUCCUGGGCUUAACCUGGGGACUGCAUUUGAUACUGGGUUGCUUGAAUUCGGGAGAGGAUAGCGGAAUUCCCAGUGUAGAGGUGAAAUUCGUAGAUAUUGGGAAGAACACCGGUGGCGAAGGCGGCUAUCUGGACCGACAUUGACGCUGAGGCGCGAAAGCGUGGGGAGCAAACAGG
rnacentral:rRNA from 1 species